rnacentral:rRNA from 1 species
CCUACGGGAGGCUGCAGUGGGGGAUAUUGCACAAUGGGGGGAACCCUGAUGCAGCGACGCCGCGUGGAGGAAGGAGUGCUUCGGCAUGUAAAGCCCUAUCGGCAGGGAAGAAGCAAGACGGUACCUGACUAAGAAGCCUCGGCUAACUACGUGACAGCAGCCGCGGUAAUACGUAGGGGGCGAGCGUUAUCCGGAUUCACUGGGUGGAAAGGGAGCGUAGACGGCCAUGCAAGCAAGGGGUGAAAGCCCGGGGCCCAACCCCGGGACUGCCCGUGGAACUGCAUGGCUGGAGUGCGGGGGGGGAAGGCGGAAUUCCUGGUGUAGCGGUGAAAUGCGUAGAGAUCAGGAGGAACACCGGCGGCGAAGGCGAGCUGCUGGACCGCGACUGACGUUGAGGCUCGAAAGCGUGGGGAGCGAACAGGAUUAGAUACCCCAGUAGUC